rnacentral:tRNA from 1 species
GCGGGGGUCGCCGAGCCAGGUCAAAGGCGCAGAGUCCUAUCAAACGACACGCUCGCUUCAGGAGCCUGUCCCGUAGGGGUUCGUGGGUUCAAAUCCCACCUCCCGCACCA